AAACUCUACAAUGAACCACUUGUUAUCACUCCUCAUCAUUGCCAUAGCCACAUCACCCAACACUGCAAACAUGAGGUGUUCAAGUGACUCUCCACCGCGCGCUCCCAAAUACCACCUCAUGGAGAAAUGCCACCGGUCCAAACUUGGCAUAGCAGCGAAAGCAAACUAUAGCACCUUGACCAGCUGCCAGAGACUUGGCAUCGAGAAGAAGGCUUUAGCGUUGAACUUCAGCCCACCAGAUGCCUGGAAAUCUGGUGAUGAACCACUGGAUUACACUUGCGAAGUCCUGAAGUGUGCUGAAGCGGAUGGCGGGCUGUCCCUGGUGAAUGACACGAGAUAUGACUACUAUAGUAUCUAUGCAAGACCUAUACCGAAUGUGAAUGCGACAUGCGUCCCAGCCACCGGCAUGUUCUGCCUCUUACCUGCCCGGCACAACUUCAGCCAAGCUGCGCAAGAGUGUAAGAACAUCAGCGCAGUGCUGGCUGACGUCACCAGUGAGCAGCGAACAGAUUCCUUGGCUCAGUUGCUGGCUGGCGCUUCAGUGGACGCUGCUUUGGUGGGAAUGAGGAGGAAUAAUGAGAGCAUGUUUCGAACUUUGAAUGGGGAUGCCCUAGACUGCACGACCUACCGCGCGUGGGCUCCAGGGCACCCACGUCGAUAUGCUGCCCAGUAUGAUUGUGCCCUGAUCACUCGCCAGCGGACAUGGCGGUCUGUAGCUUGCAAGUCAAAACACCCAGUCCUCUGUGAGUUGUUACCAGGAGGACCUUACAAGAGAGGCUCUAUAUUUGCCUCUACAAGACGUGAAAGUAAAGAAAAUGAUCACAACUCCACCACAACUAUGGAAAAUAAAAAUUAAAAGAUAAUAUUUAUUUAAUUAUAUCUAGUUUCCAGUUUAAAAAAUAUAGAAAACGUUAUCUUUGCCAAAAAAAAAUAUGUUUCGUGAACUUGAACUGAACUGACAGCGGUUGAGCUGUCAAUGUCAUUAUCAAUCAAACUGGCUGGCUGGCUGUUUGUUUUUGUAAAGAAUAGUUGAAUUUAAUGCAUAAAAAUUAAGAAAUCUUGACUUUUAUUACGAUCUAUUAAACCAAACAGCGAAGUAAUUUGAUUACCUCCCAUUUUGCUGAAAAUGGGCCAAGGGAAAAGUCAAUUUACCGAAGAAGAACUACAAGAUUACGAGGAUCUAACAUACUUUACGAAGAAGGAGGUUCUGUAGUAAGUAUUCAAAUUUUACCAAAAAUAUAGCCAUUUUCGUGACUUGAGUCUUCUCUGAGUUUCAUUCAAAAUUUUUUUUAGUGCGCACCAGAAAUUCAAAGCGUUAGCCCCAGAGAAAGUCGGCCACAAUAAAAAUGCUAAGCUACCGAUGGCUAAGAUACUCCAGUAUCCUGAGCUUCGGGUGAACCCCUUCAGAGAUAGAAUCUGCAAAGUUUUCAGCUCUAGUAAUGAUGGGGACUGUACUUUUGAAGAUUUUCUCGAUAUGAUGUCGGUGUUCAGUGAAAUGGCGCCAAAGGCGGUGAAGGCUGAGCAUGCAUUUAGAAUAUUUGACUUUGAUGGAGAUGACAUGAUAGGAGUGUCGGACCUCCGUGAAGUUAUUGAGCGUUUGUGUGGUCCGGACUUAAAGCUCAGUGACUCGGAAAUUCAGCAGUUGGUGCAGAACGUUCUGGAAGAGGCUGAUUUGGAUGACGAUGGAGCACUCUCAUUCGCUGAGUUUGAGCAUAUCAUUGACAAGAGUUCAGAUUUUUGUCACUCAUUCAGGAUAAGGUUGUGAAAUAGUCUUGAAGAAAUACUCAAAAAUAA